UGUAGAGUAAAAAAAUAUAAAGAAUUAAAAAAAAUCUAAUCUACGAGUCACCGACCGACUGAUUAUGAUCAUCUUGCUACUGCUAGGCUGGGGUUGAUGAGGAUGUCCCGAGCAUCAGAGACUUAAUGAGGACCUCUUGGAUGAGUUGUAAGACCUCUGUUUGAUACCAGAAAUCACCUCCUUCUGCUUUUGACAGCAUACAAGUUUGUCCUUAUCUAACAUAGACCACACCUGCUACUACACAGUCUCGAUGACUCACGUCUCCAAAGGAUCUUAGAUGUCUAUCGUCUCCAAAGGAUCUUAGAUGUCUGUCGUCUCCAAAGGAUCUUAGAUGUCUGUCGCUCAGGACCUAGUAGGGUGCUACAGGACAAUCCAUUGGCUGAAGAAAAGGAUGCCAUAGCACCCAUCGCCUAUUGUCUAUAGGAAUAACUUUGUAGUGUCCGGUUCUAGUGGCUAUAUGGAUCCCUCAACUGGCUGAAAAAGCAGUCUCUACCAACUAAUGGUACUCAUUCUGAAAACAAAAAAUUAAAAUAUUAGAAAUAUUAUAGUUUUGGAAAAGAAUUAUACACAUAUAAAUUGGAAUUAUCACCUAAGUCUUGUGAGCGGCAAUCGAUGCACUGACGUGCCACCAUCUAAUGUAUGUCGGGUGGGCAUGACCUCGAACAACUUAACAUGGUCGGGCUACCAACCUAACUCACGUGCCUAAUGAUACAUUUAAAAAUCAGUAAUUAUAACACUUAAAAUGCUAAUAAAUCUAUGCAAUUCAAUUUAAAUUGGUAAUGUACCAUCCUCUUGGCUCACUCAACUAUAGAGAUUGAAACCCCCACCCCCCCUAUAGGUGACGAUCCUAAUCCCUCGUCCCUAGUCUCGCUACGUCGAUUCUUAGAGGUAGCAACACGCUUUCUCUGAAAUUGCUCAGAGGACCAGUAAGCCAUCCAACUACUCCAUACCUCUUCUCAGACCCUAUACGGGCUUUGACCCUUGGCCAUCUCUACUUGCACAGUUUGUCACUAUACUGGGUGCCACCUUGUGCGUACCACCUCUAAUUCACAGUGGUAUUAAGUCGAGGAUUCCAAUGCCAAACCUUUUAUAAUUUUUAAAAAUUAAGAAAAGUUCAAUUAAUAAUUUAUAAUAUAAGAAUUAGAACAGUUAACAAUAAAUAAUUUAUUCUGAAUUUAUCAUAGUAGAAGGCAACAAUGUCAUCUGGCACGCUCUUCCAAUCAUAUGCCCACUUGGAUGUAAAUGCAGAUGAAAGCUAUGGGUCAUGGUGGAUGAAGCAACAUACAACUGGAUGAACUAGUCACCGCAUUAAAAAAUUAAAAAAUUUAACAAAUUAAAGUAACACAGUAAGUAAAUUAUAAAACUAAAAUCCUAUGUUUCUAUAAUAUAAAAGUACCUUGUUGGAUCAAUCUCGAGGAGGCGUGACUUAUAUCUAGUCAUCCUACUGAUGGAGGGUGAUGGUGGUCCAGUCACGCUAGAAGCCUCAGCGCUGGACUCCCAACACCUUUACCACGCGAUGGCGCCUGUAGAAGCUAUAGGCAUGGGGGUGGUAGAGUAGCAGCCGCAGAUGUCUCUAGAAGCUCUGGGGGUGGUGGAGUUGUCGCUUAAGGUGCUGAUGGUGACACAAUAGAUACCUGAGGUGAUGUCACCAUAUCAAGUGGCGGUGGUAGCUGUCAUCGCCUACAUCUAACAUGGGCUAGAAUUACCGGUGGUCUGCCUCCGGAUCGCUAUACCUCCAUUAUCACCAGUGGAACCUCUAACCUUCUAUAAACUUAUGUUAAAAAUACAAAU
rnacentral:lncRNA from 1 species